GUGUAAGCACAUAUAUCUCUCACUGGAUUUUGAUAUCUGAAGAAAAGGGGGUGUAGCCUAAAAGAUGAGAGUGUUGAGUCUUCUGUACCUGUUGUCAGUCCUUCCUGGUAUCCUGUCUGAUGUGCAGCUUGAGGAGUCAGGACCUGGCCUGGUGAAACCCUCUCAGUCACUGUCCCUCACCUGUUCUGUCACUGAAUUCUCCAUCACCAGCAGUGGUUAUUACUGGAACUGGAUCCGGCAGUUUCCAGGAAAUAAACUGGAGUAUAUGGGGUACAUAUAUUCCAGUGGUAGCACUGACUACAACCCAUCUCUCAAAAGUCGAAUCUCCAUCACUAGAGACACAUCCAAGAACCAGUACUUCCUGCAGCUGAACUCUGUGACUACUGAGGACACAGCCACAUAUUACUGUGCAAGAUACACAGUGUAGAGUCUUCAGUCUAAGCUCAGACAUAAACCUCCUUGCAGAGGAGCUUUGUACCAAAAGGUGGC